GGCAAGAUAACAUCUUUGUAAGAUACUAUGAGUAGUACACAGGACAAUAGGAAGUAUUCUGCAAGGAGUCCUUAUGCCAAAAGAGUGCAUGCAUCUGAUCAAUUUUCCGAGGAGUGAAUGACUGCAGAACGCUCAUCCUACUGAGUUGAACUUGAAUUGCAUCUCUGGAUUCUUCAUGAACUUCUCUUAGCUUUUCUUGCCUGAAAAUAUAUGACUAAUGAAUGCAACUUGAAACUCUCAUAUAUAAACAUUUCUCUUGGUAGCGAAUACUAUUAGAGUCUUCCAGCUAUAUAAAAUAGCCCAAGAUCUA